CUAAGCGUACACGGUGGAUGCCCUGGCAGUCAGAGGCGAUGAAGGGCGUGCUAAUCUGCGAUAAGCGCCGGUAAGGUGAUAUGAACCGUUAUAACCGGCGAUACCCGAAUGGGGAAACCCAGUGUGACUCGUCACACUAUCAUUAACUGAAUCCAUAGGUUAAUGAGGCGAACCGGGGGAACUGAAACAUCUAAGUACCCCGAGGAAAAGAAAUCAACCGAGAUUCCCCCAGUAGCGGCGAGCGAACGGGGAGGAGCCCAGAGCCUGAAUCAGCAUGUGUGUUAGUGGAAGCGUCUGGAAAGGCGCGCGAUACAGGGUGACAGCCCCGUACACAAAAGCGCAUGUGCUGUGAGCUCGAUGAGUAGGGCGGGACACGUGGUAUCCUGUCUGAAUAUGGGGGGACCAUCCUCCAAGGCUAAAUACUCCUGACUGACCGAUAGUGAACCAGUACCGUGAGGGAAAGGCGAAAAGAACCCCGGCGAGGGGAGUGAAAAAGAACCUGAAACCGUGUACGUACAAGCAGUGGGAGCACCCUUUGGGGUGUGACUGCGUACCUUUUGUAUAAUGGGUCAGCGACUUAUAUUCUGUAGCAAGGUUAACCGAAUAGGGGAGCCGGAGGGAAACCGAGUCUUAAUUGGGCGUUAAGUUGCAGGGUAUAGACCCGAAACCCGGUGAUCUAGCCAUGGGCAGGUUGAAGGUUGGGUAACACUAACUGGAGGACCGAACCGACUAAUGUUGAAAAAUUAGCGGAUGACCUGUGGCU
rnacentral:rRNA from 1 species